UCCUUGUGCCCCCUGCUCCGUCUGCUGUCCGCCUCUCCCUGCAAUGCCCUGCUCCGAAGACAUCACCGCCGCCGUGUCCCCCAGCAAGCGGGCCCGCCCCCCUGCGCUGUGUGCGGCUGUCGGAGCACGCCACGGCCCCGACGCGGGGCUCCGCGCGCGCCGCCGGCUACGACCUCUACAGCGCCUAUGAUUGCACGACACCACCCAUGGAGAAAGCUCUUGUGAAGACGGACAUCCAGAUCGCCCUUCCCUCUGGGAGCUAUGGCAGAGUGGCUCCACGCUCGGGCUUGGCUGCCAAACACUUCAUAGAUGUCGGAGCUGGGGUCAUCGAUGAAGAUUACAGAGGAAACGUGAUGAGUACCCAGCGUAUGUCUUGUUCCAAUGACAUCUCUGAAUAUGCAUUUGAAGCCUAG